rnacentral:rRNA from 1 species
UGGGGAAUAUUGGACAAUGGGCGCAAGCCUGAUCCAGCCAUGCCGCGUGCGUGAAGAAGGCCUUAGGGUUGUAAAGCGCUUUCACUGGUGAAGAUGAUGACGGUAACCAGAGAAGAAGCCCCGGCUAACUCCGUGCCAGCAGCCGCGGUAAUACGGAGGGGGCAAGCGUUGUUCGGAAUUACUGGGCGUAAAGGGCGCGUAGGCGGGAUAUCAAGUCAGGGGUGAAAGGCCUGGGCUCAACCUGGGAACUGCCUUUGAAACUGAUAUUCUUGAGUCCGGAAGAGGAUGGCGGAAUUCCCAGUGUAGAGGUGAAAUUCGUAGAUAUUGGGAAGAACACCGGUGGCGAAGGCGGCCAUCUGGUCCGGCACUGACGCUGAGGCGCGAAAGCGUGGGGAGCAAACAGGAUUAGAUACCCCCGUAGUCC